rnacentral:rRNA from 1 species
UACAGAGGUCCCGAGCGUUGUUCGGAUUCACUGGGCGUAAAGGGUGCGUAGGUGGUUGGGCAAGUCUGAUGUGAAAUCUCCGGGCUUAACCCGGAAAUGGCAUUGGAAACUGCCUGGCUAGAGUGUUGGAGGGGGGACUGGAAUUCUCGGUGUAGCAGUGAAAUGCGUAGAUAUCGAGAGGAACACCAGUGGCGAAGGCGAGUCCCUGGACAACGACUGACACUGAGGCACGAAAGCGUGGGGAGCAAACGGG